rnacentral:rRNA from 1 species
GACGAACGCUGGCGGCGUGCUUAACACAUGCAAGUCGAACGGAAAGGCCCUGCUUUUGUGGGGUGCUCGAGUGGCGAACGGGUGAGUAACACGUGAGUAACCUGCCCUUGACUUUGGGAUAACUUCAGGAAACUGGGGCUAAUACCGGAUAGGAGCUCCUGCUGCAUGGUGGGGGUUGGAAAGUUUCGGCGGUUGGGGAUGGACUCGCGGCUUAUCAGCUUGUUGGUGGGGUAGUGGCUUACCAAGGCUUUGACGGGUAGCCGGCCUGAGAGGGUGACCGGCCACAUUGGGACUGAGAUACGGCCCAGACUCCUACGGGGGGCAGCAGGGGGGAAUAUUGCAAAAGGGGCGGAAGCCUGAUGCAGCAACGCCGCGGGGGGGAUGACGGCCCUCGGGUUGUAAACCGCUUUCGCCUGUGACGAAGCGGGGGUGACGGUAAUGGGUAAAGAAGCACCGGCUAACUACGU